rnacentral:rRNA from 1 species
UACAGAGGGUGCGAGCGUUAAUCGGAGUUACUGGGCGUAAAGGGCGCGUAGGCGGUUGUUUAAGUGAGGUGUGAAAUCCCUGGGCUUAACCUAGGAAUUGCAUUUUAGACUAGAUGACUAGAGUACAGUAGAGGGUGGCGGAAUUUCCGGUGUAGCGGUGAAAUGCGUAGAGAUCGGAAGGAACAUCAGUGGCGAAGGCGGCUACCUGGACUGAAACUGACGCUGAGGCGCGAAAGCGUGGGGAGCAAACAGG